GGAUGUAGCUCAGUUGGUUAGAGCGCUGGAUUGUGGUUCCAGAGGUCGCCGGUUCGAACCCGGUCUUC
rnacentral:tRNA from 1 species